rnacentral:rRNA from 1 species
GCCAGACUCCUACGGGAGGCAGCAGUGAGGAAUAUUGGUCAAUGGCCGAGAGGCUGAACCAGCCAAGUCGCGUGAGGGAAGACGGCCCUACGGGUUGUAAACCUCUUUUGUCGGGGAGCAAAGCGAACCACGUGUGGUUCAUUGAGAGUACCCGAAGAAAAAGCAUCGGCUAACUCCGUGCCAGCAGCCGCGGUAAUACGUAGGGGGCAAGCGUUAUCCGGAUUUACUGGGUGUAAAGGGAGCGUAGACGGCAAUACAAGUCGGAAGUGAAAUACCCGGGCUUAACCUGGGAACUGCUUUGGAAACUGUAUGGCUGGAGUGCUGGAGAGGUAAGCGGAAUUCCUAGUGUAGCGGUGAAAUGCGUAGAUAUUAGGAGGAACACCAGUGGCGAAGGCGGCUUACUGGACAGUAACUGACGUUGAGGCUCGAAAGCGUGGGGAGCAAACAGGAUUAGAUACCCCAGUAAA